AUCCAGAUGAUGUCUCAAAUAGGACGAAAUGCGCAUCCUGGAU
rnacentral:hammerhead_ribozyme from 1 species